rnacentral:rRNA from 1 species
CACGGACCAAGGAGUCUAGCCGGCGAGCAAGUCAAUGGGACUGCACUAAACCCUAUGGCGUAGCGAAAGCAAGCUUCUGCUUGUCUUGUGAAGACGGGCGUCCUUUUGAGGGGCGUCCAGCAUUCACGGGGCCCGUACCGUAUAAUACGAGUGCGUGGUACCUUGAGCUCGCCGGCUGGCACCCGAAAGAUGGUGAACUAUGCCAAGUCGGAACGAAGACGGGGGAAACCCCGUUGGAGGUUCUAAUCGUUUCUGACGUGCAAAUCGAUCGUUUGAGCCUGGCAUAGGGGCGAAAGACUAAUCGAACCAUCUA